CCUACGGGAGGCAGCAGUGAGGAAUAUUGGUCAAUGGACGAGAGUCUGAACCAGCCAAGUAGCGUGAAGGAUGACUGCCCUAUGGGUUGUAAACUUCUUUUAUAUGGGAAUAAAAUGUUCCACGUGUGGGAUUUUGUAUGUACCAUAUGAAUAAGGAUCGGCUAACUCCGUGCCAGCAGCCGCGGUAAUACGGAGGAUCCGAGCGUUAUCCGGAUUUAUUGGGUUUAAAGGGAGCGUAGGUGGAUUGUUAAGUCAGUUGUGAAAGUUUGCGGCUCAACCGUAAAAUUGCAGUUGAAACUGGCAGUCUUGAGUACAGUAGAGGUGGGCGGAAUUCGUGGUGUAGCGGUGAAAUGCUUAGAUAUCACGAAGAACUCCGAUGGCGAAGGCAGUUCACUGGACUGCAACUGACACUGAGGCUCGAAAGUGUGGGUAUCAAACAGGAUUAGAUACCCCUUAGUC
rnacentral:rRNA from 1 species